ACAGUGGUAUUUCAAUAGUAGAAUUCCUGCCUUGCAUGUGGGAGACCCAGGCUUGAUUCCUGGCCAAUGGA
rnacentral:tRNA from 1 species